GACAGGGAGUGCGAGUGUUAUUCGGAAUUACUGGGCGUAAAGGGCUCGUAGGUGGCCAACUAAGUCAGACGUGAAAUCCCUCGGCUUAACCGGGGAACUGCGUCUGAUACUGGAUGGCUUGAGUUCGGGAGAGGGAUGCGGAAUUCCAGGUGUAGCGGUGAAAUGCGUAGAUAUCUGGAGGAACACCGGUGGCGAAGGCGGCAUCCUGGACCGGCACUGACACUGAGGAGCGAAAGCCAGGGGAGCAAACGGG
rnacentral:rRNA from 1 species